rnacentral:rRNA from 1 species
GACGAACGCUGGCGGCGUGCUUAACACAUGCAAGUCGAACGGAAAGGCCCUGCUUUUGUGGGGUGCUCGAGUGGCGAACGGGUGAGUAACACGUGAGUAACCUGCCCUUGACUUUGGGAUAACUUCAGGAAACUGGGGCUAAUACCGGAUAGGAGCUCCUGCUGCAUGGUGGGGGUUGGAAAGUUUCGGCGGUUGGGGAUGGACUCGCGGCUUAUCAGCUUGUUGGUGGGGUAGUGGCUUACCAAGGCUUUGACGGGUAGCCGGCCUGAGAGGGUGACCGGCCACAUUGGGACUGAGAUACGGCCCAGACUCCUACGGGAGGCAGCAGUGGGAAAUAUUGCACAAUGGGCGGAAGCCUGAUGCAGCAACGCCGCGUGCGGGAUGACGGCCUUCGGGUUGUAAACCGCUUUCGCCUGUGACGAAGCGUGAGUGACGGUAAUGGGUAAAGAAGCACCGGCUAACUACGUG